AACGAACGCUGGCGGCGUGCUUAACACAUGCAAGUCGAACGCGAAGGGACUUCGGUCCUGAGUAGAGUGGCGCACGGGUGAGUAACGCGUAGAUAACCUGUCUUCAUGUCUGGAAUAAUACGCCGAAAGGGGUACUAAUACCGGAUAUUCUUUGCUUUUCAUAAGUUAUGCAAGCAAAGGUGGCCUCUGCAUAUGCUACUGCAUGAAGAGGGGUCUGCGUACCAUUAGCUAGUAGGUGGGGUAAUGGCCUACCUAGGCGACGAUGGUUAGCGGGUCUGAGAGGAUGAUCCGCCACACUGGCACUGGAACACGGGCCAGACUCCUACGGGAGGCAGCAGUGAGGAAUAUUGCGCAAUGGGGGAAACCCUGACGCAGCGACGCCGCGUGAGUGAAGGAAGGCCUUCGGGUCGUAAAGCUCUGUCAAGAGGAAAGAAGUGUACAAUGGCUAAUACCUGUUGUAUUUGACGGUACCUCUAAAGGAAGCACCGGCUAACUCCGUGCCAGCAGCGGC
rnacentral:rRNA from 1 species